AUGCUAGUUGUGCGGGUUUAGACCCGCAGCGGAAGCUCAGUAACACGUGGCCAAACUACCCUGUGGAUGGGAACAAUCUCGGGAAACUGAGGCUAAUUCCCAAUAACGCUCCACCCCUGGAACGGGCGGAGCUGGAAACGCUACGGCGCCACAGGAUGUGGCUGCGGUCGAUUAGGUAGACGGUGGGGUAACGGCCCACCGUGCCAAUAAUCGGUACGGGUUGUGAGAGCAAGAGCCCGGAGACGGAAUCUGAGACAAGAUUCCGGGCCCUACGGGGCGCAGCAGGCGCGAAACCUUUACACUGUACGCAAGUGCGAUAAGGGGACUCCGAGUGUGAAGGCAUAGAGCCUUCACUUUUGUACACCGUAAGGUGGUGUACGAAUAAGGGCUGGGCAAGACCGGUGCCAGCCGCCGCGGUAAUACCGGCAGCCCGAGUGAUGGCCGAUAUUAUUGGGCCUAAAGCGUCCGUAGCUGGCCGGACAAGUCCGUUGGGAAAUCUGUUCGCUUAACGAGCAGGCGUCCAGCGGAAACUGUUCGGCUUGGGACCGGAAGACCUGAGGGGUACGUCCGGGGUAGGAGUGAAAUCCUGUAAUCCUGGACGGACCACCGGUGGCGAAAGCGCCUCAGGAGGACGGAUCCGACAGUGAGGGACGAAAGCUAGGGUCUCGAACCGGAUUAGAUACCCGGGUAGUCCUAGCUGUAAACGAUGCCCGCUAGGUGUGGCGCAGGCUACGAGCCUGCGCUGUGCCGUAGGGAAGCCGAGAAGCGGGCCGCCUGGGAAGUACGUCUGCAAGGAUGAAACUUAAAGGAAUUGGCGGGGGAGCACUACAACCGGAGGAGCCUGCGGUUUAAUUGGACUCAACGCCGGACAUCUCACCAGCUCCGACAGUAGUAAUGACGGUCAGGUUGAUGACCUUACCCGAUGCUACU
rnacentral:rRNA from 1 species